rfam:Oryza glaberrima chromosome 2 Oglab02_0414_4, whole genome shotgun sequence.
UUUAAUUGCAACCACGUGUUUUCAUGUCCAACUUUAAUCAUUCAACUUAUUUUAAGAAAAUUUAUAAUUAGUAUUUUUAUUAUUAUUAGAUAAUAAAACAUAAUGGUAUUUUAUGCGUGUUAUAUUUUUUAAAUAAAACAGUUAAUUAAAAUUGGGUACAGAAAACUAUAAUUGUACUUAAA